rnacentral:lncRNA from 13 species
AAAACCACACUGGCAGGGAAGACAGUAGGGGCCAGGAAAGGGCAAGAAGCCCUUAUUUCUCAUAAGGGCUUCUUGUCGCCUGCACUAUGGUUGAAGUCCUCGAACAGCACAGAGCAACUGGUCACUGCUCAGCCCAGGCAUUCCCGUGCCUUCCUGCUACACUUGCAUAUCAAGAAGCGUUUCAGACCACAGGAAUGCCGAACUGCAAGGGGCCAAUUUACCUUGAAUUUCAAAAGGGGAAACUGCCACAAGAACAGGAGAAGUGGUGAGGGGCACAAUAUGGGGAACGUGGAUCCAGAGGCUGCCGUGAGAUGUGCUGAUCGUUUAACUUCUGUGAAGGGCAGAGGAACAAAGCUGAAGGACAGAAAAAUCAUGGUGGAUGAGAUAAGAACAUUCCAGAGAAGUAUCUGUAUGAGAGUAAAGCAGAAUAAAAAUUGGAAACAUUUGGAAGAGCUUGUCUUUUUCCAGAGCUUAAAUGAAGGUGGGUGGUGGUGAUGUAACGCAGAAUCGUCCUACAUGUCUUUGCUAAGAACAUAUGUCC